rnacentral:lncRNA from 1 species
UUGCUUUUUUCAAGCCUUUGCUCUGGACACAGAGGGGAGCUGAGUGCUGCUUUGGGGAGGUUUCUUUGCUGUGCUGAUUUUACCUUUGCUGAUUCUCUCAAUGUUUUGCUCUAAGCUUGAUCUGCUCCCAGAGGUCCUGGAAGUAAAACCAGACCCAUAUUCCAGGCCAGAGCUGGAGGAACCCUGGGCUUUGUUGCUUUUUGAAAAUGAGGAUUUCUGCAGGAUGGAAAUUCCUGGUGUCUGUCCUUUCACAAAACUGCUGUGA